GAUGAACGCUAGCGGCAGGCCUAAUACAUGCAAGUCGAACGGGCUUAUGUUUUUCGGAAUAUGAGUUAGUGGCGCACGGGUGAGUAACACGUACAUAACCUACCUUCAAGAGGGGGAUAGCCUUGGGAAACUGAGAGUAAUACCCCAUAGUAUCAAGUUGCGGCAUCGUGAGUUGAUUAAAGCUGAGGUGCUUGAAGAUGGAUGUGCGUCUGAUUAGCUAGUUGGUGAGGUAACGGCUCACCAAGGCGACGAUCAGUAGGGGGCGUGAGAGCGUGGCCCCCCCANACGGGGUACUGAGACACGGACCCGACUCCGUACGGGAGCAGCAGUAAGGAUAUUGGUCAAUGGAGGGAACUCUGAACCAGCCAUGCCGCGUGAAGGAUGACGGCCCUC
rnacentral:rRNA from 1 species